UUACCGGAUGCAUCCACAGCUCCCACGUCCACUACAGAGCAGCCGUCUGCACUAAGAGAUUGCCAACCCAGUAGAGCAGCCGCUAGGCAUUAAUCCCAGUUUAUCAUCUGUGACUGCAGUAAAGUCAGCCCUGAUCUCCAGCCCAAGCCGUCCGUGUGCUCCAUACCUUCUGUCCUGCAUGAUGACUCCGUGGACGUUACAACUCGUUCGAUCCUCUGGCUAUCGGAUGCCAUUCUCCAUCUGUAACAUUCACCUGCUCUGGAAAGCCAAGCCUCAGCGUGGUCAGGUCUUGUCUGAAGAUGAAAAGGAGCUGGC